GGGCAGCUGCCCUGUGAGUUACCUAUUGCUGUGAGACCAGGCGGCCUUGCUGUUGGGGAACUUGCUGCUGUUGCACUGUGUCUCUCAGAGCCACUCCGUUAAUUGUACCGCCCGAACUGGAUCUCUCACCCUCAGGGCGCCGCUCACCUGGAGAGGCCCUCAGCCAGGAGCUGGGAAUACAGCGACCCUCACUCUCCAGUCAUCCUUUGCUCUUGAUGCCCCAGUGGAUCACGUUGGAAAUGCAACUGCAUCCCAGGAACUUGGUUCCGGUUAUCUCAAGUUAGGAGGUCAGGCCUACAGUGAUGUAUGUGGAGCACACUGCAGUCUAGUGCAGAGCCCUGGAGGGAAUUGAGUGUGCCAGCCCCAGGACCUUCCUACAAGAAAAUAAGCCUUGUAUUAUUAUAAAGUACACUGGACAGCACUUCAUAACCAUGCUUCUCUACUCUCGCUUCCUGGGAUGCUUCGCAGUCCACUGCUUCUGCCUGGGACACACUGGAACAGCAGCUGGGAAGCUGCUAACACUUGGAGGAUCUGGUGGUUCGUCGAUCUUAUUUUGCUCAUCACUGGGGGACUGAUGCCUAGUGAUGGCAGCAACUGGUGCACUGUCUACUAA
rnacentral:lncRNA from 1 species